rnacentral:rRNA from 1 species
AGGAAUGCUUCCACAAUGGACGAAAGUCUGAUGGAGCAACGCCGCGUGAGUGAUGAAGGGUUUCGGCUCGUAAAACUCUGUUGUUGGAGAAGAACGGGUGUCAGAGUAACUGUUGACAUCGUGACGGUAUCCAACCAGAAAGCCACGGCUAACUACGUGCCAGCAGCCGCGGUAAUACGUAGGUGGCAAGCGUUGUUCGGAUUUAUUGGGCGUAAAGCGAGCGCAGGCGGUUUUUUAGGUCUGAUGUGAAAGCCUUCGGCUUAACCGGAGAAGUGCAUCGGAAACCGGGAGACUUGAGUGCAGAAGAGGACAGUGGAACUCCAUGUGUAGCGGUGAAAUGCGUAGAUAUAUGGAAGAACACCAGUGGCGAAGGCGGCUGUCUGGUCUGCAACUGACGCUGAGGCUCGAAAGCAUGGGUAGCGAACAGGAUUAGAUACCCUGGUAGUCCAUGCCGUAAACGAUGAGUGCUAAGUGUUGGAGGGUUUCCGCCCUUCAGUGCUGCAGUUUAACG